UGUAGAGGGGGGUAGAAUUCCAGGUGUAGCGGUGAAAUGCGUAGAGAUCUGGAGGAAUACCGGUGGCGAAGGCGGCCCCCUGGACAAAGACUGACGCUCAGGUGCGAAAGCGUGGGGAGCAAACAGGAUUAGAUACCCUGGUAGUCCACGCCGUAAACGAUGUCUACUUGGAGGUUGUGCCCUUGAGGCGUGGCUUCCGGAGCUAACGCGUUAAGUAGACCGCCUGGGGAGUACGGCCGCAAGGUUAAAACUCAAAUGAAUUGACGGGGGCCCGCACAAGCGGUGGAGCAUGUGGUUUAAUUCGAUGCAACGCGAAGAACC
rnacentral:rRNA from 8 species